GGACGGUGGAUUAGUGGUUAACACGUUCGCCUCACACCUCCAGGGUCGGGGGUUCGAUUCCCCUGCUAACCG